rnacentral:lncRNA from 10 species
ACCUUCCAAAGUGUUGGGAUUACAGGUGUGAGCCAACGCACCAGGUCUUGAAUAACAUUUUUGAACGUUUCCCAGAAAGGACUUGGACCCUCUGUGGAACACCCGAGUACCUAGCCCCCGAAGUCAUUCAGAGCAAGGGCCACGGAAGGGCCGUGGACUGGUGGGCCCUCGGCAUCCUGAUAUUCGAGAUGCUUUCGGGGUUUCCUCCAUUUUUUGAUGACAACCCGUUUGGCAUUUAUCAGAAAAUUCUUGCAGGCAAACUAUAUUUCCCCAGACAUUUGGAUUUCC